rnacentral:rRNA from 1 species
UACAGAGGGGGCAAGCGUUAUUCGGAAUUAUUGGGCGUAAAGGGCGCGUAGGCGGCUUGGCAAGUGGAUGGUGAAAUCCCUCGGCUUAACCGAGGAACUGCCGUCCAAACUGCUUAGCUUGAGACCGGGAGAGGUGAGUGGAAUUCCCAGUGUAGCGGUGAAAUGCGUAGAUAUUGGGAGGAACACCAGUGGCGAAGGCGGCUCACUACACGAUCAUUGACGCUGAGGCACGAAAGCGUGGGGAGCAAACAGG